rnacentral:miRNA from 1 species
AGGAGUGACAGAGUUAGACUCU